UGGGGAAUCUUCGGCAAUGGACGAAAGUCUGACCGAGCAACGCCGCGUGAGUGAAGAAGGUUUUCGGAUCGUAAAACUCUGUUGUUAGAGAAGAACAAGGACGUUAGUAACUGAACGUCCCCUGACGGUAUCUAACCAGAAAGCCACGGCUAACUACGUGCCAGCAGCCGCGGUAAUACGUAGGUGGCAAGCGUUGCCCGGAUUUAUUGGGCGUAAAGCGAGCGCAGGCGGUUUCUUAAGUCGGAUGUGAAAGCCCCCGGCUCAACCGGGGAGGGUCAUUGGAAACUGGGAGACUUGAGUGCAGAAGAGGAGAGUGGAAUUCCAUGUGUAGCGGUGAAAUGCGUAGAUAUAUGGAGGAGCACCAGUGGCGAAGGCGGCUCUCUGGUCUGUAACGGACGCUGAGGCUCGAAAGCGUGGGGAGCAAACAGG
rnacentral:rRNA from 1 species